GGUUGACCUCGGAUCAGGUAGGACUA
rnacentral:rRNA from 1 species